rnacentral:rRNA from 1 species
CAGCUCACUAGUCGAGGAGUUUGGCGUGGAUAAUACUCGGGCAUAAACUGUUUACCGAAGCUAUGGAUCUCGUAAGAGAUGGUAGGGGAGCAUUCUAUGGACGUUGAAGGUGAGGGAUAACCCUUGCUGGAGUGCAUAGAAAAGCAAAUGUAGGUAUAAGUAACGAUAAAGGAAGUGAGAAACUUCCUCGCCGAAAGACUAAGGUUUCCUGAUCAACGUUAAUCGGAUCAGGGUAAGUCGGGACCUAAGGAUAAGCCGAACGGCGAUUCCGAUGGAAGAAUGGUUUAAUAUUCCCAUACUACUUUAUUGAGCGAUGUGGAGACGGAGAAGUGACAGUCCUGCCAUCUGACGGAAUAGAUGGUUAAAGGGUGUAGGCGUUGAUCGAAGUAGGCAAAUCCGCUUUGAGAGCUGAACCUGACAGUAUACCGAGUACUUGUACAAGGUAAUAUGGACGUAAACAGGCUCCCUAGAAAAUCCGCUAAGCAUAUCAAUAAAGUACCCGUACCGUAAACGGACACACGUAGUUGGGUUGAGAAUACUGAGGCGCUCGAGUGAUUCACGGUUAAGGAACUAGGCAAAUUGACCCUGUAACUUCGGGAUAAAGGGUCCCUAUCGAAAGGUAGGGCGCAGAGAAUAGGUCCAGGCAACUGUUUAACAAAAACACAUGGCUGUGCAAAAUAGAAAUAUGAAGUAUACAGCCUGACACCUGCCCGGUGCUGGAAGGUUAAGAGGAGAGCUUAUCGCAAGAGAAGGUUUGAAUUGAAGCCCCAGUAAACGGCGGCCGUAACUAUAACGGUCCUAAGGUAGCGAAAUUCCUUGUCGGGUAAGUUCCGACCUGCACGAAUGGUGUAAUGAUCUGGACACUGUCUCAACCGUGAGCUCGGUGAAAUUGUAGUAUCGGUGAAGAUGCCGAUUACCCGCGAUGGGACGAAAAGACCCCGUGAACCUUUACUAUAGCUUUACAUUGAAUUUGGGCAACUAAUGUGUAGGAUAGGCCGGAGGCUAUGAAGCAGGUACGCUAGUAUUUGUGGAGCCGUCGUUGAAAUACGGCCCUUUGGUUGUUUGAGUUCUAACUCGCGA